AUUGAACGCUGGCGGCAGGCCUAACACAUGCAAGUCGAACGAGUGGCGGACGGGUGAGUAAUGUCUGGGAAACUGCCCGAUGGAGGGGGAUAACUACUGGAAACGGUAGCUAAUACCGCAUACCAUCGGAUGUGCCCAGAUGGGAUUAGCUAGUAGGUUGGGUAACGGCUCACCUAGGCGACGAUCCCUAGCUGGUCUGAGAGGAUGACCAGCCACCCGGGAACUGAGACACGGUCCAGGCUCCUACGGUAGGCAGCAGUGGGGAAUAUUGCACAAUGGGGGCAAGCCUGAUGCAGCCAUGCCGCGUGUGUGAAGAAGGCCUUCGGGUUGUAAAGUACUGUCAGCGAGGAGGCGUUACUCGCAGAAGAAGCACCGGCUAACUCCGUGCCAGCAGCCGCGGUAAUUC
rnacentral:rRNA from 1 species